GAUGAACGCUGGCGGCGUGCCUAAUACAUGCAAGUCGAGCGAACAGACGAGGAGCUUGCUCCUCUGACAUUAGCGGCGAACGGGUGAGUAACACGUGGAUAACCUACCUCUAAGACUGGGAUAACUUCUGGAAACCACAGCUAAUACCGGAUAAUAUAUUGAACCGCAUGGUUCCAUAGUGAAAGACACUUUUGCUGUCACUUAUCGAUCGAUCCGCGCCGCAUUUGCUAGUUUGUAAGGUCACGGCUUACCAAGUGAACGAGGCGUAGCCGACCUGGAAGGGGGAUAGGCCACCCGGGAAGGGAGACACGGUCCAGACUCCUAAGGGAGGCAGCAGUAGGGAAUCUGACGCAAUGGGCGAAAGCAUGACGGAGCAACGCCGCGUGAGUGAUGAAGGUCUUCGGAUAGUAAAAAUCGGUUAUGAGGGAAGAACAAAUGUGUAAGGAAAUAUGCAGGUAGUGACGGUACCUAAACAGAAAGCCACGGCUAACUACGUG
rnacentral:rRNA from 1 species